GACGAACGCUGGCGGCGUGCCUAAUACAUGCAAGUAGAACGCACAGUUUAUACCGUAGCUUGCUACACCAUAAACUGUGAGUUGCGAACGGGUGAGUAACGCGUAGGUAACCUGCCUGGUAGCGGGGGAUAACUAUUGGAAACGAUAGCUAAUACCGCAUAAUAUUGAUUAUUGCAUGAUAAUUGAUUGAAAGAUGCUAUUGCAUCACUACCAGAUGGACCUGCGUUGUAUUAGCUAGUAGGUGAGGUAACGGCUCACCUAGGCGACGAUACAUAGCCGACCUGAGAGGGUGAUCGGCCACACUGGGACUGAGACACGGCCCAGACUCCUACGGGAGGCAGCAGUAGGGAAUCUUCGGCAAUGGACGAAAGUCUGACCGAGCAACGCCGCGUGAGUGAAGAAGGUUUUCGGAUCGUAAAGCUCUGUUGUAAGAGAAGAACGGGUGUGAGAGUGGAAAGUUCACACUGUGACGGUAUCUUACCAGAAAGGGACAGCUAACUACGUG
rnacentral:rRNA from 1 species